GGAGAGAUGUCCGAGUGGUUUAUGGAGCUGGUCUUGAAAACCAGUGACUCCGCAAGGGGCCGGGUGUUCGAAUCCCUCUCUCUCCGCCA
rnacentral:tRNA from 1 species